rnacentral:rRNA from 1 species
GAUGAACGCUGGCGGCGUGCCUAAUACAUGCAAGUCGAGCGAACGGACGAGAAGCUUGCUUCUCUGAUGUUAGCGGCGGACGGGUGAGUAACACGUGGAUAACCUACCUAUAAGACUGGGAUAACUUCGGGAAGCCGGAGCUAAUACCGGAUAAUAUUUUGAACCGCAUGGUUCAAAAGUGAAAGACGGUCUUGCUGUCACUUAUAGAUGGGUCCGCGCUGCAUUAGCUAGUUGGUAAGGUAACGGCUUACCAAGGCAACGAUGCAUAGCCGACCUGAGAGGGUGAUCGGCCACACUGGAACUGAGACACGGUCCAGACUCCUACGGGAGGCAGCAGUAGGGAAUCUUCCGCAAUGGGCGAAAGCCUGACGGAGCAACGCCGCGUGAGUGAUGAAGGUCUUCGGAUCGUAAAACUCUGUUAUUAGGGAAGAACAUAUGUGUAAGUAACUGUGCACAUCUUGACGGUACCUAAUCAGAAAGCCACGGCUAACUACGUG